GGUCUGGUGGUCUAGCGGUAUGAUUCUCGCUUAGGGUACACCCUAGUAGCAAUAUUGCCAUUAAAAAGCAUGCGAGAGGUCCCGGGUUCAAUCCCCGGCCAGACCC